GGCUUCGUAGCUCAGUUGGUAGAGCGCUUGUGUUGAGGCAUGGUGUUUCUGUUGCUGGUUCAAAUCCAGCCGAAGCCC